AUUGAACGCUGGCGGAAUGCUUUACACAUGCAAGUCGAGCGGCAGCACGGGGGCAACCCUGGUGGCGAGCGGCGAACGGGUGAGUAAUACAUCGGAACAUGCCCAGUCGUGGGGGAUAACACUUCGAAAGAAGUGCUAAUACCGCAUACGUCCUGAGGGAGAAAGCGGGGGAUCUUCGGACCUCGCGCGAUUGGAGUGGCCGAUGUCAGAUUAGCUAGUUGGUGGGGUAAAGGCCUACCAAGGCAACGAUCGGUAGCUGGUCUGAGAGGAUGAUCGGCCACACUGGGACUGAGACACGGCCCAGACUCCUACGGGAGGCAGCAGUGGGGAAUUUUGGACAAUGGGGGCAACCCUGAUCCAGCCAUUCCGCGUGAGAGAAGAAGGCCUUCGGGUUGUAAAGCUCUUUCGGCAGGAACGAAACGGCGAGCUCUAACAUAGCUUGCUAAUGACGGUACCUGAAGAAGAAGCACCGGCUAACUACGUGCCAGCAGCCGCCGUAAAAC
rnacentral:rRNA from 1 species